rnacentral:rRNA from 1 species
UACGGAGGGUGCAAGCGUUACUCGGAAUCACUGGGCGUAAAGAGCGCGUAGGCGGGAUAGCAAGUCAGAUGUGAAAUCCUAUGGCUUAACCAUAGAACUGCAUUUGAAACUGUUAUUCUAGAGUAUGGGAGAGGUAGGUGGAAUUCCAUGUGUAGCGGUGAAAUGCGUAGAGAUAUGGAGGAACACCAGUGGCGAAGGCGGCUUCCUGGUCUGCAACUGACACUGAGGCGCGAAAGCGUGGGGAGCAAACAGG